rnacentral:rRNA from 1 species
CACUGCCCGUCACGCCAUGGAAGUUGGUUCCGCCUUAAGCAGGUGUUCUAACCCUAAUUUAUUAGGGAGGAAGCCUAUCACGGUGGGGUCGAUGACUGGGGUG